rnacentral:rRNA from 1 species
UUGUAUAAUGGGUCAGCGACUUAUAUUCUGUAGCAAGGUUAACCGAAUAGGGGAGCCGAAGGGAAACCGAGUCUUAACUGGGCGUUAAGUUGCAGGGUAUAGACCCGAAACCCGGUGAUCUAGCCAUGGGCAGGUUGAAGGUUGGGUAACACUAACUGGAGGACCGAACCGACUAAUGUUGAAAAAUUAGCGGAUGACUUGUGGCUGGGGGUGAAAGGCCAAUCAAACCGGGAGAUAGCUGGUUCUCCCCGAAAGCUAUUUAGGUAGCGCCUCGUGAAUUCAUCUCCGGGGGUAGAGCACUGUUUCGGCAAGGGGGUCAUCCCGACUUACCAACCCGAUGCAAACU